UACGUAGGGUGCGAGCGUAAUCGGAAUUACUGGGCGUAAAGCGUGCGCAGGCGGUGAUGUAAGACCGAUGUGAAAUCCCCGGGCUUAACCUGGGAACUGCAUUGGUGACUGCAUUGCUGGAGUAUGGCAGAGGGGGGUGGAAUUCCACGUGUAGCAGUGAAAUGCGUAGAGAUGUGGAGGAACACCGAUGGCGAAGGCAGCCCCCUGGGUCAAGAUUGACGCUCAUGCACGAAAGCGUGGGGAGCAAACAGG
rnacentral:rRNA from 1 species